CGCCACUGCCGGUAACCAUCCACGCUCACUUUCAGAACCACAUAGAUCAACACCGCCACCAAGGUACUCAAGGCAGUGUCGUACGCCAGCGUCUCGUACUUUUCCAUCGCUCGCACCGCUGCAUUUAAACCAGAGUGCGGGAAGAACCCAUAGCGCCCAGAGAAAGCCCACGCGGUCACAGGGUGUCCUACAGACAGCACCUGUAGUCAGGAUCGGACCCGGAUCUCUGGCGCUGUAAGCCAGCAACUCUACCCCUGCGCCACUGUGCCGCUCUAAAAAUGAUGUACAGUUUCAUAGAUCGGAAAAAAAGAAAGAAGAAAAAAAAAGAAAAGAGAAAGAAAAAGAAAAAAUGUCAAGAAAAACACGAAAAAGAAAAAAGGAAAACCCCAGACCAACGAAGGAGUGACAGAAGCGGAGAUAUAUCCCACUACCCUUCCAUACGCUCGCUCACCCGACCCUAGCGUCGGUUUUGAGUUUGUGUUCAACCAUUAUGUUGUUGAAGAAAUUCAAUAAAAGGAGACCAUAUUUUUGAAAAUUGGUCAGGUUUGUCAGUCAAGCCAAGUCUUAUUUUUUCUAGAUGUAGUGUCUCGGUCAUUUCUGUGAUCCACAUCUUCAAUGUGGGGACUGUUAUCUUUUUCCAGAAUUUAAGUAUUAGUCUUUUCACAGCCAUUAAACCAUAGUCAAGGAAGCGUCUUUGAAAUAUCGUUAGAUUAGGGCAGCCCUCUGUCAUUCCUUAUAUUAUUAGUUUUGGAUCUGGUUCCAAUUGAAUUUUAAAUGUUUUGCUCAGGUGUAAUGUUAAACCAACCUUUGGCCUUGGCUAAUCUGAACACAAACCCAUUCCAAGCUCAUAAAUUUUGCCAUUCCAGUCCAGUCCAAAUAUGCUGAUAAUUUGUACAACAAAGAUUGAUCAAGGUCAGAGACCACAUGCCAACCACACUUCACCUAGGUAAAAUGGUGCCAAAGGUAAAAAAAAAAAAGGUAUUGGGACAGAAGGACAAAUAUAAAUAAUAUUUAAAUUAAAUUACACAUAAAAUUCUGGAAGUCAGCAAAAAGAAACAAAAACUGAACAAAACAAAACAAAAACAAGACAUUAGUGAAAAAAUAUAAUUAGACAAAAAACCAAGUCCAUGGUAGUGUCUAGUUUUAGUUUAGUUUAGAAACACAGAGUGGAAACAGGCUCUUCGGACCACCUAGUCUGCCCGACCAGUGAUCACCCGUAAAUCAGUUCUAUCUUACACACUGGGGACAAUUAACCUACAAACCUGCAAGUCAUUGGAAUAUGGGAGGAAACCAGAGCACCCAGAGAAAACCCACGCGGUGAAAGGGAGAACGUACAAACUCCAUACAGACAGCACCUAUCGUCAGGAUCAACCAGGAUCUUUGGCGCUGUAAGGCAGCAACUCUACCGCUGCACCAGUGUGCCGCCCAAGUGCAAGAUGUGGUCCUUCGUAUUCUCUUGUUGAGUCGGAUCUAGGUUGUGCAGGUUGAAUCAAGAACUUGAUAGUACAGGUAGUAAGAAAGUAGCUGAUCCUGAACCUGGUGGUGUGGAACCUGAGGCUUCUGUACCUUCUGCCUAAUGGUAGCAGUGAGAAGAGGACAUGAUGAUCUUGAUGAUAGAUGACACAUUCUUCAGCACAUUAAUAAAAUGAAGAUUUUGAAGAGACCUCAUGACAAAUUAAGAUUUGAAAGGAAAAUACUGUCCACUGUUCCAAUUGAGUCAAGAGUGUUUAAUUUUCAUAUGCACUGAGUCUGAAACAAUGAAACUCUUGCUUGCUGCUGCUUCACAGGAACAUUAUUGCAGCAACACAAAAAAAUCAUGUA